rnacentral:rRNA from 1 species
UAAAUUGAGAGUUUGAUCCUGGCUCAGAACGAACGCUGGCGGCACGCUUAACACAUGCAAGUCGAACGCAAUUAUGAAACUUGUUUCAUAAUUGAGUGGCGCACGGGUGAGUAACACGUGGAUAUCUGUCCUUAGGUAGUGAAUAACCCCGGGAAACUGGGGCUAAUACAACAUGAGCUCGAGAGAGGAAAGACCGAAGGGUCGCCGAAGGGGGGGUCUGCGUCUGAUUAGGUAGUUGGCGGGGUAAUAGCCCACCAAGCCGAUGAUCAGUAGCUGGUCUGAGAGGACGGUCAGCCACACUGGAACUGAGAUACGGUCCAGACUCCUACGGGAGGCAGCAGUGGGGAAUAUUGGACAAUGGGGGAAACCCUGAUCCAGCGAUGCCGCGUGAGUGAUGAAGGCCCUAGGGUUGUAAAACUCUUUUGACGGGGACGAUGAUGACGGUACCCGUAGAAUAAGCACCGGCUAACUCUGUGCCAGCAGCCGCGGUAAUACAGAGGGUGCUAGCGUUGUUCGGAAUUACUGGGCGUAAAGGGUGUGUAGGUUGUUAUGUAAGUCAGAUGUUAAAGACCUGGGCUUAACCUAGGGGCUGCGUUUGAUACUGCAUGACUAGAGAGCAGGAGGGGGGAAUGGAAUUUCCGGUGUAGAGGUAAAAUUCGUAGAUAUCGGAAGGAACACCAGUGGCGAAGGCGAUUCUCUGGACUGUUUCUGACACUGAGGCACGAAAGCGUGGGGAGCAAACAGGAUUAGAUACCCUGGUAGUCCACGCCGUAAACGAUGAGCACUAGGUGUCGGGGCCGCAAGGUUUCGGUGCCGCAGUCAACGCAUUAAGUGCUCCGCCUGGGGAGUACGCACGCAAGUGUGAAACUCAAAGGAAUUGACGGGGACCCGCACAAGCAGCGGAGCAUGUGGUUUAAUUCGAAGCAACGCGAAGAACCUUACCAGGGCUUGACAUCCCCCCGACCGGCGCGUAACGGCGCCUUUCCUUCGGGACGGGGGAGACAGGUGGUGCAUGGUUGUCGUCAGCUCGUGUCGUGAGAUGUUGGGUUAAGUCCCGCAACGAGCGCAACCCUUGCCUUCAGUUGCCACCGCGUAACGGCGGGCACUCUGGAGGGACUGCCGGGGACAACUCGGAGGAAGGUGGGGAUGACGUCAAAUCAUCAUGCCCCUUAUGCCCUGGGCUACACACGUGCUACAAUGGCCGGCACAGAGCGACGCGAUCCCGCGAGGGUGGGCAAACCGCGAAAACCGGCCCCAGUUCGGAUUGCAGGCUGAAACCCGCCUGCAUGAAGCCGGAGUUGCUAGUAAUCGUGAAUCAGAACGUCACGGUGAAUGCGUUCCCGGGUCUUGUACACACCGCCCGUCACACCAUGGAAGUCGGGGGCGCCCGAAGUCGGCCGCGAAACAGGCUGCCUAAGGCGAAACCGAUGACUGGGGUGAAGUCGUAACAAGGUAGCCGUAUCGGAAGGUGCGGCUGGAUCACCUCCUUU